rnacentral:lncRNA from 1 species
UUUGUUUAAAGGCAAUACCAAUGCACAAGGAUCCCUGGAAGGAAGGGGAACGUCAGUUCAGGAAGCCUCAUUUAACCUCCCUCACAUCAGCCCCUUCUGAUCCUCUCUCCAUAAAUUCCAUCAGGACUCACAGCUGCUGAGGACGUGGCACACGUCAUGUCUGGCACCCACAUCUCCACCCAGCACAUCCAAACACCCCUCCAUCCUAGCACAGCCUAGCAUACCUCCAUCCCUGCUUCCUCAUCCUUCAGCAAGACACCUGAGCUGGUAGAAAACUCUCCUCCUGCUCAAACUGGAAGGAGCUUCAGCGUGACCAGCCACAAGGCUGGGACUGUAAUUGGAUGCAGACAGCUCUGACUUUAUCCUUUUUCUUUGCACACCUCCUAAAGGACAACAUCUCAUCUCUCUCCACUCCACGGUUGUCCCCUGCCAGGAAAACUGCAAGACACUAUGCUCCCUGACCUGUCAUAUUGUUGCUGAUUGUUGCUUCUCAUUACACGACGAGAGGAGAAACCUGAAGUCAUUCCAAUCAAGAGUACAAAGAAACACAAGAUCCACAAGACUGAAGGAGUUCACACUGAGGUUGUGUGCAUGAAAUGGCACGUAAGGUUCCAGAUGCUCUGAACAAUCUGAAAAUGAUUCUUUAAUAUUUAAUUAAACUGGCACUCCCAAACAUUUCAUGAAUAUGUGCAGGUUUAUCACUAGAACAGGUCCCAAACCAAUGCUGAGCUUCUUCAGUGAAAGACAACGUUUUGACCUCUGGAUUACAUGGACACAGAAUCAGGAACCAUGAAGAAA